UACGGAGGGUGCGAGCGUUGUCCGGAAUCAUUGGGCGUAAAGGGCGCGUAGGUGGCCCGGUCAGUUCGUGGUGAAAGCGCGGGGCUCAACCCUGCGUCGGCCAUGAAUACUGCCGCGGCUGGAGCACUGUAGAGGCAGGCGGAAUUCCCAGUGUAGCGGUGAAAUGCGUAGAUAUUGGGAGGAACACCAGUGGCGAAGGCGGCUCACUGGACCGGUUCUGACGCUGAGGCGCGAAAGCGUGGGGAGCAAACGGG
rnacentral:rRNA from 1 species